AUUGAACGCUGGCGGCAGGCCUAACACAUGCAAGUCGAACGAGUGGCGGACGGGUGAGUAAUGUCUGGGAAACUGCACGAUGGAGGGGGAUAACUACUGGAAACGGUAGCUAAUACCGCAUACCAUCGGAUGUGCCCAGAUGGGAUUAGCUAGUAGGUGGGGGAACGGCUCACCUAGGCGACGCUCCCUAGCUGUUCUGAGAGGGUGACCAGCCACAUGUGAACUGUGACACGGUCCAAACUCCUACGGGAGGCAGCAGUUGGGAAUCUUGCACAAUGGGCGCAAGCCUGAUUCAGCCAUGCCGCGUGUGUGAAGAAGGCUUUCGGGUUGUAAAGUACUUUCAUCGAUGAAGCGUUACUCACAGAAGAAGCACCGGCUAACUCCGUGCCAGCAGCCGCGGUAAUUC
rnacentral:rRNA from 1 species